UACGUAGGGUGCGAGCGUUGUUCGGAAUUAUUGGGCGUAAAGGGUGCGUAGGCGGUUCCGCAAGUCCUGUGUGAAAUCUUCGGGCUCAACUCGAAGUCUGCACGGGAAACUGCGGGGCUUGAGUGUGGGAGAGGUGAGUGGAAUUCCCGGUGUAGUGGUGGAAUGCGUAGAUAUCGGGAGGAACACCAUGUGGCGAAAGGCGGGUUCGCCUGGGGCCUUAG
rnacentral:rRNA from 1 species